GCCAGGCGCUGUGGCAUGUGCCUAUAGUCCCAGCUACUUGGGUGGCUGAGGUGGGAGGAUAGCCUGAGCCCAGGAGUUCUAGGCUGUAGUGAGCCAUGAUCAGACCACUGCACUCCAGCCUGGGCAACAGGGCGAGACCCUGUCUCUA
ensembl:misc_RNA Metazoa_SRP Metazoan signal recognition particle RNA